AAGACUAGGAUUAGAUACCCUAUUAUGAAGAGCGUUAGUCAAGAACACCGCCAAAGCACUAAUACCACAUUCAGGUAAAAACUUAAAAAGUAUGGCGGUAGGCUUAACUUUUAGGGGAACUUGCCAUGUAAUAGACAACCCCCAAGACUAGUUUACACCCCCUUACUCAGGUAAAAUAGUUUGUAUACCGCCGUCUUCAGGCCUUUCUGAAAAGAAAGAGCCAAAAUUUUUAAACAUAAAGAAGACAGGUCAUGGUGCAGCCCAUGGGGGUGGCCUGAGGUGAGUUACAAUAAUCGUGUUGUUUUAGACUUUUUUAAGGAGCUAACCUUUAAUAGCUUUUAAAAUAGGAAAAACUGGAACUUAAAAAAGUAACGAGCA
rnacentral:rRNA from 1 species